rnacentral:rRNA from 1 species
UACGUAUGGUGCAAGCGUUAUCCGGAAUGACUGGGUGUAAAGGGAGCGUAGACGGUUGUUCAAGUCUGAUGUGAAAGCCCUCGGCUUAACUGGGGGAGUGCAUUGGAAACUGAAGGACUAGAGUAUCGGAGAGGCAAGUGGAAUUCCUAGUGUAGCGGUGAAAUGCGUAGAUAUCAGGAGGAGCACCAGUGGCGAAGGCGGCUUGCUGGACGAAAACUGACGUUGAGGCUCGAAAGCGUGGGGAGCAAACAGG